GAAAGACCCUGUUGCAGGGAAGGCGUGUGGUUCCUCAGCUUCCUCUAACACUGUGGGUACUUCUUGCUUGGUCUAAUGCACAACAGAAAAGACCAGAGUUGGAGAAAGUCUGAUGGAUGGAGUUGGGCAAACCUUGUUGAUUGGCAAAUCCAGUCUCGUGCAACCAGCUUUUCUACAUCCUGCAGCCACCUUCUGCUAAGAUUUUGCCAGCUUAUAUAAGUCUGACUGACUUCAGUUGGGCUUCUCCCAGGCCUUGGUUCAGGAGUGGCAUCUGCGUGUGCCUCCCGGAGCGCAGCCUCUUGCACCUUCAUCUGCCGCUCAGCGCUUCUUCUCUACAGCUGUUUUAAAACAGGUACGUCCCUCUCCUCCCUGCUUCCCCUCUCCCCGCAC
rnacentral:lncRNA from 1 species